ACACCGUUGGUGAAGUGGUUAUCAUGCUUGCCUUCCAUCUAGAGGCAGCAAGCGGCUCGGGUUCGAUUCCCGAACGGUGUA